GAAUUCCAGCUCCAAUAGCGUAUAUUAACGUUGUUGCAGWUAAAAAGCUCGUAGUUGAAGUGUGGGUGRUGCUGKCUGAAUGACUUCGGUYAGUCAGAUGAUCACUACCCCCUUCCAGUAUCCAGUAGUGGGUAUUCACUUACUUACUACUGUGUGUUGGUCCUUUACUGUGAGAAAAUUAGAGUGUUCAAAGCAGGCGUUUGCUUGAAUAGAUUAGCAUGGAAUAAUAAUUGAAGGCUUUCGUGUUCGAUUUGAUUGGUUUGUUCAUGGAAGCAAGGUUAAAAGGAACAGUUGGGGGUAUUCAUAUUCACUAGUUAGAGGUGAAAUUCUCGGAUUUAUGGAAGAUGAACAAGUGCGAAAGCAAUGUU
rnacentral:rRNA from 1 species